rnacentral:rRNA from 1 species
UACGAAGGGGGCGAGCGUUGUUCGGAAUUACUGGGCGCAAAGGGCGCGCAGGCGGCUCAGACAGUCAGAUGUGAAAGCCCCGGGCUUAACCUGGGAACUGCAUUUGAUACUACUGAGCUUGAGUACGGGAGAGGAUAGUGGAAUUCCCAGUGUAGAGGUGAAAUUCGUAGAUAUUGGGAAGAACACCGGUGGCGAAGGCGGCUAUCUGGACCGUAACUGACGCUGAGGCGCGAAAGCGUGGGGAGCAAACAGG